rnacentral:lncRNA from 1 species
GCCAGGUUAUAUACUAUGAUCAAAACUUCUACACCCUCGUAGAUGGCCAGGUUAUAUACUAUGAUCAAAACUUCUACACCCUCGUAGAUGGCCAGGUUAUAUACUAUGAUCAAAACUUCUACACCCUCGUAGAUGGCCAGGUUAAAUACUAUGAUCAAAACCUAGAUUAUGUGUAAAUACUCUCAAAUACACAAUGAUACAGUAAGUAGUUAAUAUGUGUUUUAGAAAUUUUCUGAAGAUAUCAGUAGCCUUGAGAAUAAUAUUUGACUGUUCCCUUACCAUGGGGAUCAUGCGGCAGGACUUGACACAGCCGUUCAUUCCCUUACCAUGGGGAUAAUGCGGCAGGACUUGACACAGCCGUUCAUUCCCUUACCAUGGGGAUAAUGCGGCAGGACUUGACACAGUCGUUCAUUCCCUUACCAUGGGGAUCAUGCGGCAGGACUUGACACAGUCAUUCAUUCUCAUCAUACGCAUGUAGUUGGAGUACUCUCCCUUCCUCAGGAAGUGCUGGGGUCCCAUGAAGUUGGGGCGCUCGUAGAUCAUGAACAUACCGCUCUCCACCCUGAUGGACUAGCAGCGGUUGAACAUGGAGUGAAGAUCGGCACAGAUACUAAUGCACUCAUGGUGACUGCCGCCGAAGUCCUUGUCCUUGUAAAAGAUGUUCUGAUGGAAGAACAGGAAUGAUUUUGAAGUAGCAUUAAUAAGAAAAUCUAUGGAAAAACAAAGUAAAGAUGUGAUACAGGCGGCCUACAGAUAUACUGUUUGAGGAAAUUACUCUAAAUAAGAAAGUAUACACCGAGAGUACAAAAGAAAAACAUUUGUUUUAAAGUUCAUUUCCUGCAAUUCUACACAUUUUGCUAUAGGGUGGAGGCAAAUGUUUGCAGUUUUUAAUAUGCUGACAUGGGCUAAUUGAGUGAUUGCUAAUACACAACCAAAUUGCACCUGGUGUAUUCUGUUAUUCAAACUCUCAACAGUAAGUUGAGACCCCGACUGGGUUCUUAAAAAAUAUACAGUAAAUAUAUUUUUGGGUGAAAUUGGUCCGUGGGCAUUUUGUGGCUUGUUUGUUUUGGUACCUAUCAACACCCCUCAUUAUCACCAUCUAUGCACGCAACCACUCACUUAAACUACUGAUUACUGACUACACACACCAUUGUUAAUUGUAAAUAGUUUACUUUAGUUCAUAAAUAUAUUUUUGUUAUUCCUUGAUCUCAUCGUUGUCUCCCUUUUUGUUGUGGGCUAACAUGCCCACCUAUCCCAGACAUCAAUCAGAUGAUACACCCAUUCACUCUGUAGCUAAAAGAUUCAAUAAUACUCAAAUCUUUGACAUGAUUAGAUCGAUGUGUGAAGUAUUACUCAUGGGGUAGCAGUCUGGCAGGUUACCCAGGUAACACAGCCACACCUCAGAGACAGGUCUGGCAGGUUACCCAGGUAACACAGCCACACCUCAGAGACAGGUCUGGCAGGUUACCCAGGUAACACAGCCACACCUCAGAGACAGGUCUGGCAG